AACACCGGUUUCCGUAUGAUCAUCGAAGUUAAGCAACUUUGACCCUGGUCAGUAACAAGAUGGGUGACCGGAUGGGAAUAACAAGUGCUGUAA